GAUGAACGCUGGCGGCGUGCUUAACACAUGCAAGUCGAACGGAAAGGCCCAAGCUUGCUUGGGUACUCGAGUGGCGAACGGGUGAGUAACACGUGGGUGAUCUGCCCUGCACUUCGGGAUAAGCCUGGGAAACUGGGUCUAAUACCGGAUAGGACCACAUUUUGGAUGGUGUGGUGGAAAGUUUUUCGGUGUGGGAUGAGCUCGCGGCCUAUCAGCUUGUUGGUGGGGUAAUGGCCUACCAAGGCGUCGACGGGUAGCCGGCCUGAGAGGGUGUACGGCCACAUUGGGACUGAGAUACGGGCCAGACUCCUACGGGAGGCAGCAGUGGGGAAUAUUGCACAAUGGGCGCGAGCCUGAUGCAGCGACGCCGCGUGGGGGAUGACGGCCUUCGGGUUGUAAACUCCUUUCGCUAGGGACGAAGCGUUUUUGUGACGGUACCUGGAGAAGAAGCACCGGCUAACUACGUG
rnacentral:rRNA from 1 species